rnacentral:misc_RNA from 1 species
AAAGUCGUAACAAGGUUUCCGUAGGUGAACCUGCGGAAGGAUCAUUAUUAUUUGGAUCGAAAUUUACUUCUAGUAUUGGUUCCGACUAUUUUGGAGUAAAUUUUUUACCAAAUAUAUUCUGAAAUUUACCCUAUAUUUUUAAUAUAGGAGCAAGAUGAACAAAAUAUUUAAAACCCCCACUCUUAAAUAUCUAUACGUAUUUUAAAUCGAUAAAUUAAAAGAUCACUUUCAACAACGGAUCUCUUGGUUCUC